CAAAAAAACAAAUCUGUGCUGGAAAACCAAAAGUAAUAUUUUAAGUGAUGUCAUCAGUGCUACACUGAAGGUUUUCAGAAUGCUUUUUUAAACUAAGGAUGUCUUUGUGGGAAGAAGAGGACAUGAAAAUUUGAACUUGUGGCCCUGUCUGUGCUGAGAAAAUCUACCAGUAAAAUCCUUUUUUCUGCAGAGCUCUGUGGAGACUUCUGUGCACCUUCAGAACUGAUGAGGGAAAGGGCUAGAAAAUGGACAGCAACUAAUGGAGUGAAGGACUGUCAACCCAAAGAAAGGACAGCCUCUUAUAGCUCUUUUCCUUACCCAUGAAGAUAACACAGGUAAUAUCUGUAUUAUAUCCAGGUUAUUAUGCAAAAAGA
rnacentral:lncRNA from 1 species